GAUGAACGCUGGCGGUAUGCUUAACACAUGCAAGUCGAACGGACCCUUCGGAGUUAGUGGCGGACGGGUGAGUAACGCGUGAGAAUCUGGCUUUGGGUUCGGGACAACCACUGGAAACGGUGGCUAAUACCGGAUGUGCCGAGAGGUAAAAGAGAAAUUGCCUGAAGAUGAGCUCGCGUCUGAUUAGCUAGUUGGUGAGGUAAAGGCUCACCAAGGCAGCGAUCAGUAGCUGGUCUGAGAGGAUGACCAGCCACACUGGGACUGAGACACGGCCCAGACUCCUACGGGAGGCAGCAGUGGGGAAUUUUCCGCAAUGGGCGAAAGCCUGACGGAGCAAUACCGCGUGAGGGAAGAAGGCUCUUGGGUUGUAAACCUCUUUUCUUAGGGAAGAACAAAAUGACGGUACCUAAGGAAUCAGCAUCGGCUAACUCCGUG
rnacentral:rRNA from 1 species